rnacentral:rRNA from 1 species
CCUACGGGAGGCAGCAGUAGGGAAUCUUCCGCAAUGGACGAAAGUCUGACGGAGCAACGCCGCGUGAGCGAAGAAGGUCUUCGGAUCGUAAAGCUCUGUUGUCAGGGAAGAACAAGUACCGAAGGAAAUGGCGGUACCUUGACGGUACCUGACGAGAAAGCCACGGCUAACUACGUGCCAGCAGCCGCGGUAAUACGUAGGUGACAAGCGUUGUCCGGCAUUAUUGGGCGUAAAGCGAUCGCAUGCGGUUCCUUAAGUCUGAUGUGAAAUCUUGGGGCUCAACCGCAAGCGGGCAUUGGAAACUGAGGAACUUGAGUGCAGAAGUGGAAAUCGGAAUUCCACGUGUAGCUGUGAAAGUCGUAGAGAUGUUGAGGAACUCCAUUGGCGAAGUCGACUUUGUGGUCUGUAACUGACGCUGAGGCGCGAAAGCGUGGGGAGCAAACAGGAUUAGAUACCGCUGUAGUC